rnacentral:rRNA from 1 species
UNUGACUUGAGUGCAGAAGGGGAGAGUGGAAUUCCAUGUGUAGCGGUGAAAUGCGUAGAUAUAUGGAGGANCACCAGUGGCGAAAGCGGCUCUCUGGUCUGUCACUGACGCUGAGGCUCGAAAGCGUGGGUAGCGANCAGGAUUAGAUACCCUGGUAGUNCACGCCGUAAACGAUGAGUGCUAGGUGUUAGGCCCUUUCCGGGGCUUAGUGCCGGAGCUAACGCAAUAAGCACUCCGCCUGGGGAGUACGACCGCAAGGUUGAAGCUCAAAGGAAUUGACGGGGGCCCGCACAAGCGGUGGAGCAUGUGGUUUAAUUCGAAGCAACGCGAAGAACCUUACCAGGUCUUGACAUCCCGAUGCUAUUCUUAGAGAUAGGAAGUUACUUCGGUACAUCGGAGACAGGUGGUGCAUGGUUGUCGUCAGCUCGUGUCGUGAGAUGUUGGGUUAAGUCCCGCAACGAGCGCAACCCUUAUUGUUAGUUGCCAACAUUAAGUUGGGCACUCUAGCGAGACUGCCGGUAAUAAACCGGAGGAAGGUGGGGAUGACGUCAAAUCAUCAUGCCCCUUAUGACCUGGGCUACACACGUGCUACAAUGGUCGGUACAACGAGUUGCGAGCCGGUGACGGCAAGCUAAUCUCUGAAAGCCGAUCUCAGUUCGGAUUGGAGGCUGCAACUCGCCUCCAUGAAGUCGGAAUCGCUAGUAAUCGCGGAUCAGCACGCCGCGGUGAAUACGUUCCCGGGCCUUGUACACACCGCCCGUCACACCACGAGAGUUUGUAACACCCGAAGUCGGUGAGGUAACCUUUUAGGGGCCAGCCGCCU